GAUGAACGCUGGCGGCGUGCCUAAUACAUGCAAGUCGAGCGAACGGACGAGAAGCUUGCUUCUCUGAUGUUAGCGGCGGACGGGUGAGUAACACGUGGAUAACCUACCUAUAAGACUGGGAUAACUUCGGGAAACCGGAGCUAAUACCGGAUAAUAUUUUGAACCGCAUGGUUCAAAAGUGAAAGACGGUCUUGCUGUCACUUAUAGAUGGAUCCGCGCUGCAUUAGCUAGUUGGUAAGGUAACGGCUUACCAAGGCAACGAUGCAUAGCCGACCUGAGAGGGGGAUCGGCCACACGGGAACUGGGACACGGUCCAGACCCCUACGGGGGGCAGCAGUAGGAAAUCUCCCGCAAGGGGCGAAAGCCUGACGGGGCAACCCCGCGGAAGGAUUGAAGGUCUUCGGAUCGUAAAACUCUUUUUUUAGGGAAGAAAAAAUGUGUAAGUAACGGGGCCAUUUUGGACGGAACCAAAUAAGAAACCCACGGCUAACUACGU
rnacentral:rRNA from 1 species